GGGGGCUAUCAAGAUCUAAAAGCAUGUGAAAUGCACUGGGCUAAACGGCUCAAAGGACCAGAGGAAGAAAAGAGGCAGGCGGCGGGACUGAGUGCCCCGGGUCUAGCUGCACCAUGGACAGAGACUCUGCAAAAGACAAACCCAGCCCACACCCCUCUAGAGGGCGGCUGCAGCUAUAGCCAGCAACACCCCUGCCCCAGAGAAAUGGAGAAGGGGCGGGAGGAUGCCCGGACUACUCAGUACCGGGGCUCCCCAGCCCCCUCCGAGUCUGGUAUUCCCGGAGGAGACAGCUCCUCUCUGCCCCAAUCCUUAAAGACCAUUAAGAGGUGAGAGCGGCACCAUCAGUCCUAGUACAGCAAACCUUCGGCGCUGUUCCCCACCCUCAACACACACCUUGGGGGAAUCCCACCCAGUUCUGACUUUCCCUUUGUGCAAAGGAAGCAGCUUUUCGGUCGGCUUCCCAGAAAGAAGUCGGCCCCCUUCUUUCAGGGGAGCCACAUCCAGCCUCAGGACAUCACUGCUUGGGACGUGGGGGCAGGAGGAGUAAGGGGCAACAAGACCCAGCUUUUCUUCUUUCCCAAGUCUCCUGGCUUGGCUGCUAGAGGAUCCAGCGCCGGAGAGUCGGAGUACAAGCCUCCUGGGAGGCGGCAGAUGCACGCUAUCUAUUCCCAGGAUGGGAUUAGAGGGAAAGAUGGACAAGAGAAAUUGCCCGAAGAACCAGAACAAGACAAACAAAUACAAAUGAAGCAAAGUAGAAGAGGGCUAUAAAGCAGAAAAUGGUAAAUACAUGGAAAUUCCCCAACUAACAACAAUCCUAGCGUUUUUUUCCUGAAGAUCCCCUAGUCCCCAGAGAGGCGCCCCGGUGACCUGCUUCAACCCCCCCCCCCUCCCGGGCACUGCCAAAACAGUGCCUGCAAGCAACCUGCUCUGUCUGCCCACAACCCCCUGCCCCAGAUCCACCUUCUCCUUUUCCCCGGGCCGCACUCACAGCUUCCCCCUUGCUGGCUACAGCCGUGGUGCAGCAACCCCCGUCCCUCCCACUCCUUCCCGGGUGCAUCUCCCUGCACCGGAGCAGCAGUGCGGGGGAACAAAGGGACCCAGAGUCUCCACCCGCCCACACCCCACCCUCCUUCCGUCCCCAUC